GUUUUAACAAAUAUUAAUAGUAGUCGUCUAUUAAAUUCUUUGAGUUAAAACUGUGUACAAUAAGAAUCCACUUUCUACGACAGAAAGAAGAGAAAUCUACAAUCAAUCAACAGGGAAUCAAAUUCAUGCAAACACCUCUAAACCAUACAAAACAUUGGCGUACUUGUCUAUUGUUUUAUCCUUAAAGUGAUUCUCUCUAAUCUUCUGAAAAGCGUGGAGCGUCAACAAGCUAUCCGACCCGGCCUGGUGCUUCUUCCCUAUAACCCGCUCCACACCCAGUGCCUUCCCAACUCGGUCCAACCCGCCAUACAAAUCGCAGAACCGAUUCAAAUGCUUCACAUCAUAAACCCUAUCUCCGAAAAACAACCUCACUAUGUCAAGAAACUGCGUUAAUUCCCCAGGUAGGGCUCGCUGAGUCAAGCACUUGACUAGGUAGCCGAAAUCAUAAGCGCCGUGAAACGCUACCCAACUCACUGAGUCGUUCAAGACGAGUCCCGAAGACAUCAUUAGUUCAGCGAAUUUCACGGAGUCCACACCGCAAUGCCGAUUCUUCUCAAAAUCGAUGCCUUGGCUUCUUAACAUUUCGACCGAGUCGUGCGAGUGUGCGUCCCGCGACACAUCAAAAUCGCGAAAAUUGAAUUCCCAAAUAUAGCAAAUAUUCGUACCAAGAUCCGGCAGACUGCCUUCUUGAUCUGCAAUUGUAAGGCCGACUUGGAUCAAAUUCAACAUAUCGACGUU
rnacentral:misc_RNA from 1 species